rnacentral:lncRNA from 1 species
GAGAGACAUCAGCUAAGCGGCAUCAUUCACAGAAGCAGACGGAGUCAACAACAAUGUUCCUAAACGAUGCUCAACGUCAACAAUACAGAAGCACGCACCGUCAAUUCAUAGCGGUAAACGACAAAAAUACGUGAAGAACGAUCCAGUACAUCCUGCCCUUGUCGUCUUCUCCCUUUGCCUUGCCUCAACGGUACGAACAGUGCUAGGUGGGACAAUCUCAACGUUUCACUCGUCCUAGCGUCAAGAUCGAACGGCCAUCAUUGGCGAGCCGUUUGAAACUAUUGAAGAAUUGGGUAUAAUCUUAUCCUUGUACAAUAAUUCAAAUUGGGAAUUUCUAUUUUUCCCUAAUUCUUAUCUGUUGGAGGACAAAGGUUAAGAAAACAGAAAAAAAGGGAUGCAAAAAAUUACAGUGAAUACACAACUCACUCUUGGGGUAAAUGAAUACUUGACAUAUAAAUAUACAAGUCGUUUCUUCUCUUGUUCGAAUCUUUGACACCCCUGCUUUGUUCGUUCGGAUUCUCAGAGUUUCUUGUGUGGUGGUGGAAUCGCUUCGUCCUUGAUUAAAGGUAACGUCCUUAUCUUAUUCCUCGUUUUCCAUUUGAAUAAUGUGUGUUUGUCCUGUUUUCUGCUUAACUGGGCAUCAUUUUGGGGUUGCUUUGUUGUUAGAUUAUUACACUUUCUUGAUAUAGUAUUGACUGUAAAUUGAAUAAUAGCAAGAUACUCUUAUUUCUGUUGAUUUUCUCUUUAACUACUGUUAGUUGAUUUUCUUUGUUAGCAUGGCUAUUUCCUUGAUGACGUUUGUAUCGAUUUUGGUUUUAACCUUAGCUCUAAAUGGUUGCUCAUCGUUAUCUUUUCAUCGAUUUUCUGUCAAGCUCGUUGUGACCUCUUAUUUAGCUGUUUACGGCUCUAAAUGAUUUGAUUAAUAUAUAAUAAUUUUGUGUUUGUUGAAAUUUCGAUAUUGAAUAGUAAUGCUAAUCUUUCAAGUAAUUUAGUUUGCUCUUGAACUUAUGUUUGUAUGAAUAUGGGAUUUCUUUACAAGUAUGAGAAUGUUGUGAUUAAUUUCUUUCUAGGUAAUUGUGUGAUUUAUGAUUUUUUUUAGCCUAGCCUAAAUCUAGCCUCAUGGAGUUGACUCGUAUCUCGUUUCUUUGUCAUCAAUAGGAUCAACUAGUGUUGGUACUUAUGCUUAACAAACACAUUAUCACCUACUUUAAUGUUAAGUGUCAACACUAGAUGGACUUAUGCUUAACAAAUAAAUUAUCACCUAAUUUAAUGUUAAGUGUCAACACUAGAUGGACACAAAUCAAUCUUGCAAGAAAAUCAAUUUUGUCAUCAAUAGGAUCAACUAGUGCUGGUACUUAAGCUUAACAAACACAUUAUCACCUUAAUUUAAAGCUAAGUGUCAACACUAGAUGACCACAAAUCGAUCUUGCAAGAAAUCAAUUUUGUCAUCAAUAGUCAACUAGUGUUGGUACUUAUGCUUAAUAAACACAUUAUCACCUAAUUUAAAGCUACGUGUCAGCACUAAAUGAACACAAAUCGAUCUUGCAAGAAAAUUAAUUUUGUCAUCAAUAGGAUCAACUAGUGUUGGUACUUAUGUUAAACAAACACAUUAUCACCCAAUUUAAAGCUAAGUGUCAACACUCGAUGGACACAAACAAAUUAUCACAAAAUUAAAUCUAAGUAUCAAUACUAGAUGGACACAAACACAUUAUAAAAAACAUUUAUACUUGAACUUUAGAAAUUUAAAAACACCAAACCUUAUCUCCUACUUUGAUGAAAAUAGCAGUAUAGUCUUGUAACAACUUAUUUAGAUGUUGAGCUUCCUCAAUAGCCUAGCACGAAAAGAAACAAUUUAAAAUUUCUUCAGUGGUCAUUAUAGAGAGAUUUCAGUCAUUAUAACAUUCAAGAAUGACUCAGACAAUUUUAGGAUCAGUAAGUACCUAAAAUUGAUCAUACAUAAUUAAUGGUUCUAUACUAUGUUUUUGCAAAUUCUCCAUUAUUUUGGAAAAAAAUAUAUAGUAUUUUUCUAUUUUUAAAUCUUUGUGUAGUUAUACUUGCUAAAGUUGAUAAUCCUAGUUCACUUAAACCUCAAAAGAAAUGGUCUCUUCACUAAAAAAAAUAUCAAUAUUUUGUUUCUGUUGAGUUCAGUUUAUCAAAUAUACUUUAGUUGGAUUUUGUAGUUAUUAUCAUUUAAGUUAACAAAGUUAAGUCUUUGUCAUUUACUUUAUAAUUCUCCUUUUUGUGAAUUACUGUAGAUUAUUGGAGCAUCAUUAUUUGGCCUUCUUCUCUCUAAAUAUGACCCGGUGGUAUGCUUAAAAAAUUGAUGUUAGUCCUAUUGUGGUAAAUCUUACUCCUAGUUCUGUUUCAUUCUGUGAUUUGAAGUUUAAAGCACUGCAUAGCACUAGGUAUCUCUGACAUGGCUAACCAACAAGCUUUCCUCUGGGCUCUUGAUCGUACUGUGGAAACUUGUUUUAGUUAUUCCUUCCCGUCUUCACUAAAAUCAGAAAAUAUAACUGCAAAUUUCCAACACUAACUUCAAAUUUCCUCUUCCAUUUGUUAAACUCUAACUAGUUAUCGAACCCAUAGGACAAAGAUAUGUGUUAAAUAAGCAGUAAAAAUGAAUUUUCAAAAAUUUAAAACUUAUCCAAGUUUGCUGCUGCCGCUGCCGAUGUCUGCUGCUGCUACUGAGGCGGUGGCGGUCUGGAUGGGUGAAGCUGGGACGACCAAGCGUAGAAUAGUAAUUUAAUCAUGUCUAUGUUUUUAAAUUAAAGUUGUAUUUCAGUUGUUCUUGAAAAAUCUAUUCCUUCUGAAACAACAACUUCUCGAUUGUUCUUCACUCUCGACAUCUCUCUUUCAAAAAAUCUUGAAGGAACCAAAUUCUCCAAACGUCCUCUUCCCUAAAACAUCUGCAGAACUCUCAACAAAUCCUCCAAAUCCAAUAUGCAGAGCCGAUAAAGACAAGCUUUUUAAUGUCAUUUUCGUCAAUCUCUCCUCCUUUUUAGUAGCGGUCAUUUGAGCAGCAACAGCCACAUGAACUGACCUUCAGUUGUAGCCAACAGAAGGAAUUGCUCUCUACACAUUCAUGUCUGCUUCACCGUCUCCAACUUCGAUUCUUUUGUUCGGAACCUCAAGGUUGAGUUUAAUCCUCUAUUUUCUCUUAUUCAGUUCUAUUAGAAAAUUUAUAUGAUUAAUGGUUUCUCUUUUUUUUUGUUUGAUUCAAGUAUUAUAGAAGAUGUGUUGCUGUUUUCAAUUUCAAUUUCUGUUUAAGAUUAUCCUAAAUUAAUUGUUGAGCCGAUGAUCUAUCAAAAAUAGUCUCUCAGUCUCUCUAUCUCUUAGGUAGGGGUAAGAUUUGCCUACACUCUACCCUUUCCAAACCACUUUUGGUGUGACUACAAUGACUAUUGUUCCUGAUGAUUAUGUUAGAUGUGAUGUCAAAGUGCUGGUACCAACCUUAAUCUGAUGAUUUUUGGUAUCUUUAUGUCAAUUACCUCUUUCCUUUUACCCUUUUAGUAGAUGAUGUUAAUUCUUGUAACGACAAUCUGAAAAUAAAAUUGUGUAAAAUGAGUUUCCUUUGAAUGAGAUAUGUGAAGGGCCAUCCAUAUAGGAAGAGGUGCUGAUUAAUUUGAUUGUCGCUUCUUUGAGGUUUAUCAAGGGGAUUGGAGUUGUUCUUUUCCUAUAAAUGCAUCAAGUUUUUCUUGUUUUAUUUGUUGCAUGUAUUUAAAAGAAGUACAUUAGUAUAACACCUCGGAAAUUGGAAAGUAAAAAAGAAAGGAAAAACUCUUAAUUGUUAUAUGGCUUCUGCCGCUUUCUGGCAUAUCCACAUGCAUAGAAAAUAUCUCUGUUAUGUGAUGUAUAUUUUGGUCAGUAUCCAUAUAAGCAAACCAUUGCUAUUUUUCAGGAUAACUUCUAUCCUUAUCUUUGUAUAUUUUAGAUGCACCAACAGAAGUUGUAAUUUUUGAAAUCGAAGUGUGGUGGGAGACUUUGAGCUGAUGCUAUAGUAUUUUCUUUUGAUUAUUGUGGUGUCCCAUUCGUCUUGUGCACACCUUGACUAAUUUCAUGGGGCUCCUGCUAUCUUCUACCAGCAUCCAUGAACGUAUUAAGAAUGUUAGAAACUCAUUCUUUUGUUAUUUGUUGGUAUUUAUCGAUUGGUGAUAUAGAUAUGCUGCCUCUUCUGCUUUUAGUUUUUAAAAAAUAAUGAUCUAACUUGUGGAUGAUGGGCUUAGAGCCUGUUUGGAUGGGCUUUUAAGCUGGUCAAACUGGCUUAAAAAGCCAGUUUUUGACUUAUUAAAGUGUUUGCCAAUUAUCAAAGUGACUUAUUUUAAGUCAGAAAUGACUUAUUUUAAGCCAAAAGCUAAAAGCUAGGGGAGGGGAGCUUUUUUGUUUUUUAACUUAAAGCCCUUUUAUGUUGACCAAGUAUAUUACGUUUUUGCCCUUAAUUCUUUUAUACAUUUUCCCAAAUUGCCCAUAUUGAAUUAACAUUAUUAUUAUUAUUAUUAUUAUUAUUCUUAUUAUUCUUAUUAUUAUUAUUAUAUUAUUAUUCUUAUUAUUAUUAUUAUUCUUAUUAUUCUUAUUAUUAUUAUUAUAUUAUUAUUCUUAUUAUUAUUAUAUUAUUAUUUAUUCUUAUUAUUAUUAUAUUAUUAUUAUUCUUAUUUAUUUAUUAUUCUUAUUAUUAUUAUUAUAUUAUUAUUCUUAUUAUUAUUAUAUUUAUUUAUUUAUUACUUUAUUAUUAUUAUUCUUAUUAUUAUUAUAUUAUUAUUCUUAUUAUUAUUAUAUUAUUAUUUAUUCUUAUUAUUAUUAUAUUAUUAUUCUUAUUAUUAUUAUAUUUAUUUAUUUAUUACUUUAUUAUUAUUAUUCUUAUUAUUAUUAUUCUUAUUAUUAUUAUUAUUAUUAUAUUAUUCUUAUUAUUAUUAUUCUUAUUAUUAUUAUAUUAUUAUUAUUCUUAUAUUAUUAUUAUUCUUCUUCUAUUAAUCUUCUUCUUAUUAUUAUUCUAUUAUUAUUAU